rnacentral:rRNA from 1 species
GGAUUGCCCUAGUAACGGCGAGUGAAGCGGCAUCAGCUCAAAUUUGAAAUCUGGCUCUUUCAGAGUCCGAGUUGUAAUUUGCAGAGGGCGCUUUGGCGUUGGCAGCGGUCUAAGUUCCCUGGAACAGGACGUCACAGAGGGUGAGAAUCCCGUAUGUGGUCGCUGGCCUUCGCCGUGUAAAGCCCCUUCGACGAGUCGAGUUGUUUGGGAAUGCAGCUCUAAAUGGGAGGUAAAUUUCUUCUAAAGCUAAAUACUGGCCAGAGACCGAUAGCGCACAAGUAGAGUGAUCGAAAGAUGAAAAGCACUUUGGAAAGAGAGUCAAAUAGCACGUGAAAUUGUUGAAAGGGAAGCGCUUGCAGCCAGACUUGCCUGUAGUUGCUCAUCCGGGCUUUUGCCCGGUGCACUCUUCUGCGGGCAGGCCAGCAUCAGUUUGGGCGGUUGGAUAAAGGCCUCUGUCAUGUACCUCCUUUCGGGGAGGCCUUAUAGGGGAGGCGACAUGCAACCAGCCUGGACUGAGGUCCGCGCAUCUGCUAGGAUGCUGGCGUAAUGGCUGUAAGCGGCCCGUCUUGAAACACGGACCAAGGAGUCUAACAUCUAUGCGAGUGUUUGGGUGUCAAGCCCGAGCGCGUAAUGAAAGUGAACGGAGGUGGGAUCCCUUAAGGGUGCACCAUCGACCGAUCCUGAUGUCUUCGGAUGGAUUUGAGUAAGAGCAUGGCUGUUGGGACCCGAAAGAUGGUGAACUAUGCUUGAAUAGGGUGAAGCCAGAGGAAACUCUGGUGGAGGCUCGCAGCGGUUCUGACGUGCAAAUCGAUCGUCAAAUUUGGGCAUAGGGGCGAAAGACUAAUCGAACUAUCU